GCAUUACAUUUUUUAAAGUUUUAAAACCUUUUUGUGCAUUUCUACCAGAAAUUCACAAACCUGAAAGGAAAAUCCAGUUUAGAGAGGAGGUGUUAUGGACUGCUAUAACUCUUCAUUUUCCUAGUAUGUUGUCAGAUACCACUAUUUGGAAUCAUGUCAUCAAAUUCUGCAGAUCCUUUCUACCGGAUGAGAGUUAUUCUUACAUCCCAUACUGGAACUUGAAUGGAAUUGGGUAUCUUCCCAAUUGUAACAUCUGGUUUGAUUAUGCAGUUGUUAGCUGGAGCCAAAAUCAUUGAAGUUGUAGAUAUACCCAAAGAUAGAGCUUUAUUCAGUGGAGCCCAGAAACUAUUUGGUCUGAUCAUUACCAGUGGGCAAGCCAUUCUGCAUGUCUUACCUGGGAUGUAUGGGACCCACGGAAAUGGAUGCUGGGAUCUGUCUCCUUAGCAUUAUUGGGUUGUUUGUUGCUGGUUUGAUUGUGCUGCUGUUAAAUUAGCUGCUACAGAAGGUUUACAGCUUGGGGUCUGGUAUUUCCCUCUUUAUUGCCACCAACAUCUGUGAGACCAUUGUCUGGAAGGCCUUUAGUCCCACUACCAUUAACACUGGCAGAGGUAGGGCUGAGCACAGUGCAGUCAUAGCUCGGUUUCAUUUGUUGGCCACCAGGACAGACAAAGUCUGAGCUUUACAGGAAGCUUUUUACCAGCAGAACUUACCCAAUCUCAUGAACCACAUAGCUACAGUUUUUGCAUUUGCUGUUGUUAUAUAUUUUCAGGGAUUUCGUGUUGACUUGCCCAUUAAGUCAGCCUGCUAUCGAAGACGGUAUAGCAGCUGUCCCGUCAAGCUGUUCUGCACCUCGAAUAGUCCCAUUAUUCUCCAGUCUGCCUUAAUUUCAAACCUGUAGGUUAUUUCCCAGAUGCUGUCUGUUUGAUUUAGUGGCAACUUUUUAAUCAAGUUACUAGGACAGUGGGCUGACGUCAGUGGGGGAAGACCUGCUCAUUCUUACUCAGUUGGAGGCCUCUGCUACUACCUUUCUCCUCCUAAGUCUGGUGGGGGCCAUGUUUGAGGAUCCCGUCCAUGUAGUUGUUUACAUCAUCUUUAUGUUGGGACCCUGUGCAUUCUUUUCUAAGACAUGGAUAGAGGUGUAUGGUUUCUCAGCCAAAGAUGUAGCUAAGCAGCUUAAGGAACAGCAGACAGUAAUGAGGGGUCACAGAGACACCUCUGUGGUUCAUGAGCUUAGCAGGUACAUCCCACAGCAGUUGCAUUUGGUGUCCUGUGGAUUGGUGCCCUGUCGGUGUUGGUGGACUUCCUGGGGGCCACUGGAUCUGGCACCACAAUUCUGCUUUCCAUCACUAUGAUUGAUUAGUAUUUUGCAAUAUUUGUUAAGGAACAGGCUGAAUUUGUCCAGUGCUGA